UUUGUGUCUGUGUCUCCCAGAGUCAACAAGAAACCAAGGGCAGGGAAAGUACAUCUCCCUAAGCCAUAUCUGAACUAAGCGUCUAAGUAUUGCAGAAAUAAAGUGGAACUUAAGUGUGCCUUGUUCAGAGGGCCAAAGCAUCACUACACUGGACCUGUGAGAAGUGGCAUCCGACCAGUAGAUACCUUGUGACAGGGGAGGAAAAAUAUGUUUGAGAGCCCCUUGCAGCUAUCAGAUGGUUGAGACAGCUUAUUUGAUGUUGAAUGUCAAUCAGUAUUACAG